GGGGAUGAAUGAAGGUUUCGACAGAAAGAUUCGAAUUCAAUUGUUUGCUUUCAGGUGGUUGUCCAGUCCCACCUCAAUCCGUCCUGGACAAAUUUAAGUGCUAAACCACUUGCUAAGUUACGUGAUGCUCUUCGCAUGGAAGAAGCUUCGGCUUUCGCUCCUGUAUUUGCAUAAACGGGCUUGAUGUCCUGCCAUUUUGCGGGACCCGCUCACCGGUCUAGAUUUCGUAAGCCGAUUGAGUGUCAUUUACGAGAUGUAGGUGAUUUGCUGCUGGCAGGCUGGCAAUGAUCCCAAAUUUUGGUCUGCUCGCGGCGACUGUUUUUGUCGCUUCUUUAUGGGCGUCGCGCAACUAGAAGUGACUAUGAAAGUAGAGAGCGAUUCAAUUCCUUUUUGGACGCGGGUUCGACUCCCGCCAUCUCCACCA
rnacentral:tmRNA from 1 species